CCACACAAUGCGGCAGAUCAGUUGGUGUUUACGUUUCACGAGUGAAACGUGUGGCACGCGCCGUGGCUAAAAUCGCGUUCAAACUGAUAAUAAAUCUUUCAAUUUUAUGGUAAAAUAAUAUUUUGUGGCAGCGAUGCACAGUUGUACAUAAAGUGUUGAUGGGUGGCAACAACUAAACUAUAUCGGUAUUUUAUGAUAGACGCGGCUAUUAUCUACCGUUAGUGUGCUCAUAACGGAUGUGUUUCUGUGCGGAAACGGAAGUUAUGCUGUAGCAGCGUGUAGGGAAACCAAGCGCCGCUUGCAACACACAUUCGGGCUGCUUUGCUCGCCACAGUGUCGCGUAGUGCGCGCGUAUAAACGACGGAAGUGUUAAACCGGUUAAGUGCAGUGUUUACGUUGAAAAUUGCGGUGAACGAAAAUCAAGGUAAAAAUGUUGCGCAUACGCCUAGUAGCGCUGUAACGCUUAGUUUGCCAUAUUGCAAAGGAAAAGUCGAAUUUCGCCAUACAUUUCUUAACUAAAAUUAUAAAAUUAUUAUUUUUGUAAAUCUUGGCUUUUUUUCUUGCGGCGCGUGUUCGUAUAUACCCGCUAGAUAGCAUAUUUAUGUGAAUAUAGAUUAACAAAGCCUUACCACAAUUCGCAGUGCAGUGUUAACACGGCUGUGUACUUACAAUUUAAAGUGAAAUAAUGAAUAUCUAUAUUUUUAAUUAAUGAAUACGACAAGUGUUGCAUGAAUGAGCGCAACAAAGUAUUGAAAGCCGCAUCAAAAUCCAUGAAGUGCUCCAAGUAAAUAACGCUGGCGAUAGCUCACACUUUGAAAUGAUCCUCUGAGAUUUGCAAGGACGGAGGAUCUAAAAAAAUAAAUAAAUAUACUAUAUUUAUAUGCAGUCACACAUGCUCAUUCGUUGCAUUUUAUUUCGCAUUGGUACCCGUGGCAUUAUGCAGAGUGUAGUGGUGAUCAUUUCACAGAAUAAAAUGCUAUUCAACGCAAAACAAUAAAUAUAAAUUUGUUAAUCUCUAAAACUAUAAAUCGAUAUCGUGAAAUAGCGUUUGAGUGCAUGCUGUAAAAAUUCUACUAACGUUGCUCAUACGCUCCGUCGCCCACUAGUGGAACUUUCCCGCUUUUUGUUGCUGUGAAACCCCAGUAAAGGCAGGUGUCAAGCUCCACUGGCAUAUGUGUGGGUGGCUCGACCUACUGGAACCAUAAAUCAUAGAGAAACUCAACGUAACCUAUACUCAAAUACUAGGAAAUUGAAUUCGACUUUAGUAAGCAAAAAGCGAAGGCAGUAAUACGAGCGUCGAAAUGAGCAGCAACUUUCGUCUGUUGUCGAUGAAUGGCAGAGCCAGCCAGCGGAAACUGAAAUUGUGAUGUGGUAACUAACCGAAAUUGCCAACAGGAAUUGCCACUACACGACCGAAACGAAUACACAAACUUUUCUUAGCAACAAAGUGUGGCAAGUACACCGGCACUCCUGCACACAUACACGGCGGUUGAAAAGUUAACGAGUUGGUUAUUGUUGUAACAACGUAAGUGAGUGCAUAUGUGCAGUUGGCAUUACAAAGUUGGCAAACAAAAUGAAAGAACUAACUGAGCACAGCAACAAAGCGAGUGUGUGCAAAUAAGAUGUGAGUGGAAGUGCUGAGUGUUUGCGGCUUUUUUCACUCACAAGUGUCGCGGUUGUGUCAAAUAACUCGCUGCGAGCGCAAGUGUUGCAAGUUCUAUGCGAAAGUACCAAGAAAUCUGUGUUGCAAGCUGUCUGACAGCCGCUACGCCAGUCAACUUAAUGUUAUGCAAUAGUUGUAGGGAGCCCUUAUGAGCAAAAGUAUGCGAGCAGCCAGAAUUCGUUUAAAUAAGCUACACAAAAACAAUAGUGAGGGUCAUAAGUUUUCUUCAGUGGCAUGUGGCAAGCACAACAUACACUAAGAAAAUAUAUGCACGCACAUAUAAUUAAGCUUAUAAAUUCUGCUUAAUCGCGCACAAGUGGCAACUCCCCGGGCAACCAUAAAUUACGAGAGCUGGGUCACUGUGGCAUGAAAUUUAAUAACGGUAACGGCGGCAACGAGUCAUAAACAAAGGUGUCUUUACACAAUUACAAAUAUACACACAUACCUACACACCCUGACAUAUACUUUAACUUAAAGCACAGCAUGGAGUCUUUCAUACGCGAGUAUGCGGUGCGCAGCAUCCUGCCACAUUUGCACAACUCCGGCGGCGCACUGCAACGCUACGUGCGCUAUGCUGUCGAAGACGCAGUCGCAAGUAUGCCCAGCAGCAACAGCGCUGGCAGCAGCGGCAGCCACAACGACAGCCUACUUCCCGGCCUAACCAAGGACAGCGGCGAUAGCGCCGAGAGCGCCAAUGAUUAUUACUUUAUUACAUCGGCAUCCGCACAGCAAUUGCUCAACGACAGUGAGAGUGUCGUGGCGGCGACUACCGCAACAUCCGCGGAGCUGGUGGCACGGUCGCCGCUCACGUACAAUGAAAGCAGCUACGCCAUCGCUGAUAGUGCUUCGGUGCAGGUGUUAUCAACGCUUACUGCGACUAUGAGAACUAUUGGCGAGUUCGCGGCCAACUCGGCAACGGCUGCUGUGACCGCAACGACGCCGGCGGCGGGUGAGCUGAAUAUGACCGCCGAAAUGUGUGAUGACUCAGCUGAGGAUGUGUCCGCGCUGUCGACGGCCUACUUCAAGACCAUCGUCUAUCUGUUGUACAUUCCGAUAUUUAUAUUUGCGCUGCUGGGCAACGGCACCGUUUGCUAUAUUGUGCAGUCGACGCCACGCAUGCGCACCGUUACCAAUUAUUUUAUAGCCAAUUUGGCGGUCGGUGAUAUAUUAAUGUCGCUCUUUUGUGUGCCCUUUUCGUUUGUGUCCAUUUUCAUUUUGAAACAUUGGCCUUUCGGCACGGUGCUGUGUAAUUUGGUGAAUUACUCGCAGGCGGUGUCGGUGUUGGUGAGCGCGUACACGCUGGUCGCAAUUAGUAUUGAUCGUUAUUUGGCGAUUAUGCGGCCACUGCGACCGCGUAUAACGAAAAGACUUGCAAAGUUCAUCAUAGCAGGCGUUUGGACAAUUGCCUUAGCAACGGCACUGCCCAUAUUAAUUGUCUCCAAGCUAUCGCAACCGGAGACGUGGUUCAUCGAGUGUAAGAAGUACAUUUGUCACGAGGAGUGGCCUUCCAACACACAAAACUACUAUUAUACUUUAGCGCUGCUGACACUGCAAUUCAUCGUCCCUUUGAUAGUGCUCAUCUUCACCUACACACGCAUCGCGUGUGCGGUCUGGGGCAAACGACCGCCCGGCGAGGCGGAGAACUCACGCGAUCAACGUAUGGCGCGUUCCAAACGAAAGAUGAUUAAGAUGAUGGUGAUGGUUGUUAUCGUCUUCACCAUGUGUUGGCUGCCAUUCAACGUGCUGGUGAUUCUACUCAACGAUGAUGCCUUCAAAAUCUGGGAGCCGUUGCCAUACUUCUGGUUUGCAUUCCACUGGCUGGCCAUGUCGCAUAGUUGCUACAAUCCGAUCAUCUACUGCUAUAUGAAUGCGCGUUUUCGCGGUGGUUUCCUGCAGAUUAUUUAUCGUGUGCCAGGUUUGCGACGUUGUUGUUGCCUGCGUCGUUACUUGCAGAAUCGUGGCGAGCGAAAUUACGAUGCUACCGGUGAGAUGACCUUCAAAUUCAAUGCUGGUAAUGGUGGAGGUCUGUUGAGGAAACCUAAAAUACGCAUUAGUGACGUUACUGGACGGCAUGUUCAGAAAUUUAUAACUGGUUAUGUCGUUGCAGGCUUGGCAUAUUUGGCACGGACGACACAUUCCACUUGCAGCGAGUAAACACAUCAACCACAUACAUAAGCACCCGGAAAAAACUCCGAACGAAUUCUAUGCAAAUGAGUCAAUUUUCAUGUGCGGAGGCCACAGUGUUGCGGUAGUGCCAGCCCCAUAGAUGUAGCCAGCCGCAUGUUGCCACACCGCCCACGAGAGAGGAGCUUCAGCCGCCCAUUAAUACAAGGCACUAUGUGUGAUGGAAAUUUUGAAUCAGAACACACACACACACACAUGUAUUCAUACAUAUAUACGCACACGGAGAGGCUAGGCUCAGUCACAAAUGCGUGGCAGGCAGUUUAGCGGCAUAUGGAAAACUGUAAGCAGAUUUACAAUUUAAUUUUGCAAUUCAAAACACACACGUGCUUACAAAUACACACAAACAAAUGUGUGCUUUUUUGUAACAUUAACAUAUAAGCAAGUGUGUGCGUAGACAAACCUGAAACAGGAACAAUUUUAGAUAGUCAAAAAAAAGAAUUCAUGCGCAAAAACCGUUAUCUAACAUAACAGCAAAGGCACAGCUUAGCUUUUAAGUUACCUGCGCUGCUAUUACCGUUAAGCAGAAAAUGAAAUUUUACCAAAGGAUAUCCUGAGGGCGUUUGUGCUUUUCGUAAACCAAAUCUAAACGCAUUUACACACACUUAAGCGUAUUUAUGUAAGUUCGUUAAACGAUAUUAAUAUGAGUGUAAACGAGUAUGUAUGUGUGCUUGAAAAAUGUUUACGCUUUAAGGCUCUCUUCGAUUUGCUAUGUUUUUUUUUU